rnacentral:rRNA from 1 species
AUUGAACGCUGGCGGCAGGCCUAACACAUGCAAGUCGAGCGGAUGAGAAGAGCUUGCUCUUCGAUUCAGCGGCGGACGGGUGAGUAAUGCCUAGGAAUCUGCCUGGUAGUGGGGGACAACGUUUCGAAAGGAACGCUAAUACCGCAUACGUCCUACGGGAGAAAGCAGGGGACCUUCGGGCCUUGCGCUAUCAGAUGAGCCUAGGUCGGAUUAGCUAGUUGGUGAGGUAAUGGCUCACCAAGGCGACGAUCCGUAACUGGUCUGAGAGGA